GAUCCCGCGCGCGCUCCGCCGCCCGCCCACGCGCGGUCGCCGCGUGACGCAGCGCCUGGCGGGGGCCGCCGCCGCGCGGGGGCGGCAUCCGCACCCCCAGCACCGGGGCCUGGCCCUCCCCGCCCCCGCCCGGAGGAGGCGGGCGGCCCCCGUGGAGAAACGCGGUCGCAAACUUUCCGCUCUCGCGGCGGGGGGGAGCUGCCGCCGCCGCCUUCCCCCGGGGCCGGUGCGGGGCCGUGCGGAGAACUUGAGUGAGCUGCCUUCCAUUCUUCUGGGGUGCAGCAGUGAUACCAGCUAACGGCGACAGCUCGGGGUACUUCAGGUAGCGAUGUUGAGGAUCCUCGUGUACAGCUUUAUGAGCUAAUGGCCAUUAGCUGUUCGAUUACCCAGGGUGCAACAGAAAUGCAGCCGCUUGUAUGAAGCAAAGGAGCCGGGAUGGUGCAUGUCGAGAUGGGGAGUCAAAUCUUCACCAGGGAUGCUCAAUACAAAUCCCUUCUCCUGCAAGAAGUUCCCAGGACACCUCUGACGUCCACCCAGUGUGAUUCUGUGCUGGGACUGUGCUCUGCUGUCUCCCUUCACCAGUAGAUCUGAGAACGCCGGGCAAAAAGCCAGAGGCAGACGAUGAGACAAAUAGAGACUUCCCCAGCAAAAAGCAAGGAAGUGUUAUUACACUGUUUUUUAGCACUGUCCUAUCAUUAAAAAAUCAAAUACUUUCCUGUCCAGGUACCGCUUCCACUUACAUCCCACAGAGGACAAACCAGUGCUGAGUCUGAUCCUUCUGCCAAACGUCAUGAUGUCUGGAGGUAGAAGUCUCCUUCAGAUGAUGUCUGCCCUGCACAAAUGGGAGGGGAGGGAUGGAAAGAGUUCUGGUAAUUUUAUAGCUGUUUUCAUGGUUUUAUAUUUUGAUUUUGAAAUGGUUGUAGUGUACGGAGAGUGUGUAGGUGAAAGCAAGAAAUUGUAGCGCAAAGAAAGUAAAUAAAUCAGGCGGAUCCAGUGAUGGGUGUAGCAGAUCUUCAGCUCAGAAGACAACCUCUAUUUUAGACCUCCUUUUUUUCCUAAAAAUGUUUGCAAGCUAGGGAAUAAAUGCCCAAUUUUAAGACCCUUAUCUAGCAUGAGGACUAUCUAGUCU